rnacentral:lncRNA from 10 species
CAUCGCCUUCCUCCCCAGGGGGGUCACCUUCAGAGCGCGGGCCUCUGGGUUCCGAGGGUGCUGGUGACCUGAGAAGAAGGGAGGGGACAGAGGAGGAGACACACCUGAUCAGCCCGGGAGACUUUGGAGGAGGCGGGCCGGCCGGGAGGAAGUGGCGGGGAGGAGGGACCGGAGCACCCCAGGAUCGAAGAGGGCGCACGGGCCCGGCCCUCCCACGCGCCCUCCAGGGACCCGGCAGCCAGACAGACGGACAGGCGGACCGCUAGGGAGCUCAAGUACCCGGACACACGCACGAGCGCAGAACAAAGGGCCGGACAUGCUCCAGCCCGCUCCGCCUGCGCCUCGGCCUUGCGCGCGGGGGCCCGGGUUACCUGCGCAGAGCCAGCUGUGAUGUAAAGAAGUUUGUGCUGCAUGAGAGAGAUAGCACCUGAAGAAAAUGAGGCCCUGGAGGAUGAGAGACUCUAAAGGAAAAGGGAAGGGCCUGCUGUCUUCCAGCCACGCCAGCCCCCAACUGAGAAGCUGGGUGAAGCCAUCUUGCAUCUUUAGCCCCAGUCAAGUUACCUCAGCAAAGACUAGCUGACCCUGCCAAGCCCUGCCCAAGUUACAGAAUCAUGAGCAAAUAAAUGGCUGUUUCUGUUUUAAGCUUUUAAAUUUUGGGGGUGGUUUAUGUGUCAAUAAUAACUGAAACAGAUAAUAUAUACAGAAUAAACUUUAGUUUUAAUAAUCUAAGUAAAAGCCCACUAAUUCAUUAUGCAGAAAAAAAUGAUUUUUUUGAGACGGGGUCUCGCUCUGUUGCCAGGCUGGAGUGCUGUGGCACAACCAUAGCUCACUGCAGCCUCCACCUCCCUGGUUCAAGCGAUCUUCCCACCUCAGCCUCCCGAGUAGUUGAGACCACAGUGCCCUUGGUGUGGUGGAAGCAAGGUGCCAUGUGAUAAGUAAGCCUCCAGAGAGGCCUGCAUGGCAGGAUCCAAUGUCUUUAGCCAACAGCAUCUGGGAACCUGAGACCUGCCAACACCCUUGUGAGUGAGCCUGGAAGUGGACCUCCUGCUCUUGAACCUUGAGGUGACUAUAGUGCUGGCUGACACCUUGACUGCAGUCCCUGAGCUGGGGGGCCCAGCUGAUCUACUCCCAGAAUCCCCCCUACUAAAACAGUGAUAUAAUAAAUGCUUAUUGUUUCAAGCUGGUAACUUUUGGAAUGCAUUCACUGAAAAAAAUUAGAAUAUCAAACUAUAAACCGUUUACUUAGUCAACUUUUUGGGGAACUAAUAUGGCCAUAAAUAUCAAACCUCCUACAAUUUUGCACAUUCUUUGACUUUGUAGUUCUACAUCUAUAAACUUCUCUUAAGGGAAAUCAUGGAUGCCAACAAAGAAAUAGUUACAAAAAUGUUCAGCAGAGGAGCACUAUUUAUAAUGGCAAAUUGGUGGUGAUCCAUAUAUCCAAAGAUGGGAUUGAGUGACUAAAUCAUGGAAUCACCUCUAAUAGAACAGGAUGGGAUUCAUUAGUGAGUUUUAAAAACAGUAAAGGGAUUUGCCACUGGCAUUUGAAAAGACAAAAUAAAAUGAAAUAGAAUGAAAAAUAUCAGAGUAAGGACAAGUUUUGCUUCAUAAGAAAUUUAGCUUUGUAUAUGUACAUGUGUACAUUGUGAUAUUAAAUUCCUUACUCUGAGUCAUGGUCCAAAUUUUGAAUAACUGCAGUGUUAAUAAAAGAUGUAUAUAAAACUACUUAGGCCAGGCACAGUGACUCAUGCCUGUAAUCCCAGCACUUUGGGAGGCCAAGGCGGGCGGAUCACCUGAGGUCAGGAAUUCAAGACCAGCCUGGCCAACGUGGUGAAACCCUGUCUCUACAAAAAUACAAAAAUAGGCUGGGUGUGGUGGCUCAUGCCUGUAAUCCCAGCACUUUGGGAGGCCGAGGUGGGCAGAUCACCUGAGGUCAGGAGUUUGUAGACCAGCCUGGCCAACAUGGUGAAACCCCAUCUCUACUAAAAAUACAAAAAUUAGCUGGGCGUGGUGUCAGGCGCCUCUAAUCCCAGCUACUCGGGAGGCUGAGGCAGGAGAAUCGCUUGAACCCGGGAGGUGGAGGUUGCAGGGAGCCAAGAUCGCGCCAUUGCACUCCAGCCUGAGGGACAAGAGCGAGACUUUGUCUCAAAAAAAAAAAAAAAAAAAAAAUUAGCUGGGCAUGAUGGCAUGUGCCUGUAAUCGCAGCUAUCAGGAGGCAGGGGAAUCACUUGAAUCUGGGAGGCAGAGGUUGCAGUGAGCUGAGAUCACACCACUGCACUCCAGCCUGGGCAACAGAGUGAGACUGUCUCAAAAAAUAAAUAAAUACAACUACUUAAUGACAUAAAAUGUAACCAAAAUAUAUUAAGUUAUAAAAUGUAUUCAUAAUGUUACAAAAUGAUCGAAUUUUGUGAAAACCCAAACUAUGUGAAAAAAAUGGAAAGUAAAUACACC